AUUUUGGCCCAAACUAAAAUUCGAGCUGGGUCCGCCUGAACCACACACCACCCAACAACCAAAAUCCCCUCCCAGCGCCGCAUCCUCUCUCCUCCCGUUCCCCAUUCCUCCAGCUCCAUCGACGGCAGAUCCCGGCUAACUCCGGCCAGCCCCUGCCUUGCUGGCCACCAUCCCGACACUCUCGAAUCCAGGCCGCAUCACCACCUCAAACCCUAGCCUCCGGCUCUACAGAGGUCAAGUUUCGACCUUUGGGUCCAUGGCGGCGGCGCGGCCGCAGGUCGGGGUGAGGCGGUUCGGUGACGAUCUUAACGCGCAGACCGCAAUGAAUCCUCUUUCUUGCCACCCCGCUCAAACCCUAGUCCCGACGCGGCCAAAUCCUAUCGCCACCCAAUAUCCGGCAACCGAGACCAUGUUGGCCACCGUGGAAGGCCAAGGACUGCUGCGAGGAUGGCCACGCGCGGGGAGGAAGGCGCUGCUCGCCGCCGGCCACGCCCCGACAAACAUGCUGCUGCUACCCCCCGUGAGUGAGGUUCAAAUCGUAUUUGGGCACCAAGCUGCUGCUUAUGGAACCAAGCUGGGUGGUACCUGGUGGCGAUGGCCAGCCAGGUGAGGAGGAGGCGGACUUCAUCGGUGACAUCUGCAGGGCCGCGUGGAGGCGCUACAAUCGCUGCUGAUUGACGGCAUCUAUUCACUAGGUCUCCCUAAAGAGAAACCCACUGACGGGGAGGUGUGCCAUUGACGUGACAAGGAUGCUGAACUGCUGCUUGUCGCCUACAGCAUCCGCGUUGAAGGCCUCCUGAAGCACUUGCAUGUGCUCACUGAUCCAACCUGGCACAACUCUGACGUGCCAAUGACUUGCAGCUGAUUCAAAUCAUAUCAGAGGAAGAGAAUGAGAGACUCAAUGGCAUUGCAAGAGGAGGUCUACGGUGGCCGCCAAUCAGCUACGAGUUCAAUGAAUAUCGGAGCUGAAAAAAAGGCAUGAAGCUGGGGAACUAGGAGGCAGUGUGGGAGGGGAACCAGGACGAGCUGGUGUCAUCUCCGACACCCACAAGUGUGGCGAUGAUGUGAUCUGGUGGUACCAUAACUUGGAACCAUGGAGAUUCUUUGCGGUGAUGAGGAUAUUGGCGCCAAGGCUUUGUUGGGUGGUGGAGGCCAAGAGGCAAAUAGUCACCUACAGCAGCCGAAGUUGACAUCCAUGCUUCACUCACAGGAUGACGGUAUAGCCCAAGGGGGUGGUGGGUUCACGGCCGACAAUGAUCCUGCUUGGAUGAUGCCAGGCAGGAGAAUGGCUAUGCUUGGAAGUUGAUUGAUGAUGAGCUGAGCUUCUUUGACUAGUGAUGUGAUGCUGCAGCGGUACAUGGAGAUAAGCUUCUUCUGUGGUGCUUCUGAAGGUGUUCCUUGAUGCGGCAGCAGCAACAGCAAGAGAGAAGUAGAGCUGAUGGCCCGUGAUGGUUUUUUGUAUUUAAUCAAGUGAUGGUGCUCUUGUAGUGUUGUGGACUUGUGGUCUUAAAUUUGCUGCUAGCUGUGUGGUUCUCUUGUAACAUUAGUUAUUUUUAACUUGCAGUUUUCGUAGGUUAAACUUGUGGGUCGAAUUACAAGAGUGAUGCUUUUGUCACUUCUUAUUAUCAUAUAUUUAUUGUCUGA